CUGCACUCCUGCUGAGUCUCCAGAGCAGAAAGCCGAAAGAUCUCCAAGAGGCUGAAGACGUCAACUGAUCAUUUUGUCCAGUUUAAGGAGUUCAUUUCGCUCAUUAUGGUUCCAGUCUGCAGUGAGAGAUGGGACACAUCAUGAAGUCCCUGCUGCUCCUCAUCUUCACUCUUCAUGUCUCUUCAGCAGCCUCUCACUCUCUGGACUACUUCUUCACUGGAGUCACACCAGGAACCAGCUUCCCAGAGUUCACUGCUGUCGGUCAGUUGGAUGGACUUCAAGGAGGGUAUUAUGACAGUAACAGCAGGGAAGUGAUCCUAACGGGAGAGUGGAUAAAGAACAACACGGAUGAAGAGCACUGGAAUGAGGUAACACAGAGGUCCCGUCGUUAUCAGGAGGACUUCAAAUUCAGUUUAGCUGCAGCAAUGAGGCUCUUCAAUCACACUGAAGGGAUUCACACGUGGCAGUGGACGUGCGGCUGUGAGCUUCAUGAUGGUGGAACCAAAAGAGGAUACAGCCAAUAUGGUUAUGAUGGAGAAGACUUCCUCAGUCUGGAUCUGAACACUGUCACCUGGACUGCAGCUACCAAUGAAGCUGUUAUUAUAAAACAGGACUGGGGGUCACCUAAAGCUUUAAACCAUAAGAUCUUUCUGGGGAACACCUGUAUUGAGUGGUUACAGAAGUAUGUGGUUUAUGGCAGAGCCACUCUGGAGCGGAGAGUCUCUCCUGAGGUGUCUCUGUUCCAGAAGAAUUCUUCUUCUCCAGUGGUGUGUCACGCUACAGGUUUCUUCCCCAAAGCAGUUAAAAUCUCCUGGCAGAGGAAUGGAGAGGAUCUGCUUGAGGACGUGGAGCUCAGAGAGACGCUACCCAACCAGGAUGGAACCUUUCAGAGGAGGAGCGUUCUGACUGUCUCACCUGAGGAGCUGGACAAACACCACUACACCUGCAUCAUUCAGCACAGCAGCCUGGAGCAGGAGAUACCUGUAAGACCUGUGCUACCUGUGAUGAAUCCCAAAGUUUCAGAUGGAGUCUUUAUUGGUAUCAUCAUCGGUGCAUUGGUGACUGUUCUCCUCGUUAUCAUCGGUGUUGGAGUUCUUGUAUGGAUGAAGUAGAAGAAGCCUGGCAAAAGAAGAAAAUAAACAUGUGCCGACAUUUUAUUGGCAUGUGCCCAGGGGCCUGAGCCACUAGAGGGGGCCCGCAAGCUAAACAGAUGUUUUAACUCGUGGUGUGAACUUUACAAGCAGAACAACAAAAAAAAGGAAGCGUUUUCAACCUUAUGGUCAAUCAUAAUCCUGAUGCUUAUCUCUAAAAGUCUGCUUCAUUUUCUCCUCCAAUCACAAUUAGCAACCGUUCCACUAUCCUCCAUUGCCUCGGUCAAGCUUUCAGGGAUUUACAUUGUUUUUUUAACAUUGAGCCAGUGUUCCUUUGAAUGCACUGUGAAUGUAAAUAGGGGCCCACCAAAUAUUUAUGCCCAGGGGCCGAAAACAUGAUGAUCUGGGUCUAAGCUGUUUACUGCAUUUAUACAGUAUACUGUAUAAAUAUAUACAAUACUUUAUGAAUAUUAAAAUGUAAUUUUUGUGUAAUUUUGAUGUAUUUUUGUAUUCUACAUCAUUAGCUUUUUAACCCCCCCGCAGAUGUUUGGAAAUCCCCAUAUGUGACAGAGAUGAAGAAGCAGAUGAUGAAUGAUUCUGAAUUGAUUCUGAAUGAAGAGUUGAUUCAGAGUCAACCAGUGCUUAUAAUACACAAACAUCUUUCUUCAUUAACUUUUAAUUUGGAAACUAUUUCUCUUUUUGGUUUGAUUUUUCUGUUUUUGCUUUUGGUACCAUGGCCAUUGGG